rnacentral:rRNA from 1 species
AUUGAGCGCUGGCGGCAGGCCUAACACAUGCAAGUCGAACGGUAACAGGAAGAAGCUUGCUUCUUUGCUGACGAGUGGCGGACGGGUGAGUAAUGUCUGGGAAACUGCCUGAUGGAGGGGGAUAACUACUGGAAACGGUAGCUAAUACCGCAUAACGUCGCAAGACCAAAGAGGGGGACCUUCGGGCCUCUUGCCAUCGGAUGUGCCCAGAUGGGAUUAGCUAGUAGGUGGGGUAACGGCUCACCUAGGCGACGAUCCCUAGCUGGUCUGAGAGGAUGACCAGCCACACUGGAACUGAGACACGGUCCAGACUCCUACGGGAGGCAGCAGUGGGGAAUAUUGCACAAUUGGCGCAAGCCUGAUGCAGCCAUGCCGCGUGUAUGAAGAAGGCCUUCGGGUUGUAAAGUACUUUCAGCGGGGAGGAAGGGAGUAAAGUUAAUACCUUUGCUCAUUGACGUUACCCGCAGAAGAAGCACCGGCUAACUCCGUG